rnacentral:rRNA from 1 species
GACAGAGGAUGCAAGCGUUAUCCGGAAUGAUUGGGCGUAAAGCGUCUGUAGGUGGCUUUUUAAGUCUGCCGUCAAAUCCCAGGGCUUAACCCUGGACAGGCGGUGGAAACUACCGAGCUGGAGUACGGUAGGGGCAGGGGGAAUUUCCGGUGGAGCGGUGAAAUGCGUAGAGAUCGGAAAGAACACCAACGGCGAAAGCACUCUGCUGGGCCGACACUGACACUGAGAGACGAAAGCUAGGGGAGCGAAUGGG